AACUAGUCGAGAUAAACAAACUGAAGAAACUACAUUUGUAUCUGAGGUAAAUGUGAGUGCUUCUUACCUAUGCAAACAUCUGCCACAAUGCUGAGGUGUUUUGUGGUUGUUUGGGAGUUGUAAUGUGGCUGCUAGGGUCCAGUCAAAGGGGAUCCCCAAAAUCUUCAAUACUAUAAAUAAGACCUUGUAUACUGCAGAAGGUCUGUGUUCCUGCUGGGAUUUCCUGUGGUGUACUUGAAAACAUUUUGUGCUUUACAAAUCCUGCUGUGCGUCAGGAGGCAAAUCUCUUAGACCAUCAGCAUGUAAAGCAACCAACAACAGGCUCAAAUGACUGAUGAAAUGGGAGGGAGUGAUAGAAAGAGAAGCAGCAAGAGAAGAAAUGAAGAAAAGUUGAGAAAUGACAACACUACUGAAGGUAUCAUCAGAGGACUCCAUCAAUACCUGGACCUAUUGAUACUAAGAGGGUGAACACACCAAUCCAUCUUAAUGCCAUGUGCUUACCGCACAUCCGUCGACAGCGGCUCUGAUGUACGGGUUGUUGUCGUAUGACAUCUCCUCAUCGUUGGAGCCCAGGAAGCGGAUGGCUUUGUCGUAAGAGUCCUGAUCCUGGUCGUGCCAAGCCACAG